UACGUAGGGCGCAAGCGUUGUCCGGAAUUAUUGGGCGUAAAGAGCUCGUAGGCGGUUUGUCGCGUCUGCUGUGAAAACCUAAGGCUCAACCUUGGGCUUGCAGUGGGUACGGGCAGACUAGAGUGCGGUAGGGGUGACUGGAAUUCCUGGUGUAGCGGUGGAAUGCGCAGAUAUCAGGAGGAACACCGGUGGCGAAGGCGGGUCUCUGGGCCGUAACUGACGCUGAGGAGCGAAAGCAUGGGGAGCGAACAGG
rnacentral:rRNA from 1 species